GUGAGAGUUGGGGGUACACCCUGGACAGGAUGCCAGUCCAUCACAGGGCCACAUGUAGGGAGGCAAACACAUUCAGACUCGCACGCACACCUAGGGACAAUUUCAAGCUCCCAAUUCA